UACAGAGGGGGCAAGCGUUAUUCGGAAUCAUUGGGCGUAAAGAGCGUGUAGGCGGCCCGGUAAGUCCGCUGUGAAAGUCGGGGGCUCAACCCUCGAAUGCCGGUGGAUACUGUCGGGCUAGAGUGCGGAAGAGGCGAGUGGAAUUCCUGGUGUAGCGGUGAAAUGCGCAGAUAUCAGGAGGAACACCGAUUGCGAAGGCAGCUCGCUGGGACGUAACUGACGCUGAGACGCGAAAGCGUGGGGAGCAAACAGG
rnacentral:rRNA from 1 species